UUCAAGCCUUAGAUGGGGAUUUUCAAGAUAUUGGUUUAAUGGACACUGGUCAGAAUGUUUCUGGUGCCUAUGUCCAGGAUACCGAUGAAAAGGAUAAACCUCAGACAAGACCUAUGGAGGAUAUUGGCAGAGUAGAUAGCCCACACCGAUAGAUUCCCUGAACCUCAUUUUAACUUAAAAUCUCUCAAGUGGUUUUUUUUUGUUUGAUGUUAAGUUAUUUAUUUUUAUUUCAUGUAAAAUUAGGACUGCUUUUAUUUUAUUGUUUUAGAUUUGUAUUUUUAUUAUGAUUUAUUGUGUUCACUCCAAACAUAGGAAUGAAUUAGGAUAAAAAAUUUUGUAGAGUUUCUGUGUAUUCGUAAAAAGCUUUUACACCCAUCAUUACUGCUGACGUGCAUGAUAAACAUGUGAAGCUCACCUAAUGUCAUUUUCCAUUACUUUUUGCAAAUUUUUAUUGUUAUUGAAAAUUAUAGGUGCAAUUUCCAUAAAUUGUUUUUAUCAUGUCAAUCAAAUUUUUAUAACAGUUACUUGUAAAUGAUUUAUAAAAUUUCUUUUAAAUGUACCUUUUCUAUUUUAUGAACAAAUAUAAAUGGCAUAUACAUGUACAUAUACUUUAUUGAACCAGUUUUCUCUAUAUUGUGCAUGCUUUUUUUCGCAACCAGUCAACCAGACUUAUUUUAUGUUUUUCAGCAAAUUCAACCAUUAACUGUUAUGUGUGUGAAUCAUGCUGUGUAUUGUAGGUUGUCUUGAUGUACAUGACUCUCUAGUGUAUAUUGCGUUGGUCUUUACUGUUAUGUGUGUUAGCUAAGAUAACCAGUUGUCAUCAUGUUAUUCUUCCACUGGUCUUCACUUAAAUGAUAAAUUGUUAUGUUUUUUUGUUGCAGACAAAUGUGAAAAAAAAAAUAACUAAAAAAAAAUUUGUUACAAAUAC
rnacentral:misc_RNA from 1 species